rnacentral:misc_RNA from 1 species
UCUCCGUAGGUGAACCUGCGGAGGGAUCAUUACCGAGUGAGGGUUCCGGCCCGACCUCCAACCCUUUGUGAAUUCGACCCAGUUGCCUCGGGGGCGACCCUGCCGUCCGCGGCUGAGCGCCCCCGGGGUCAAUCAAACACUGCGUCAAUUUGUGUCGGAGUACUUGUUAAUAAACAAAACUUUCAACAACGGAUCUCUUGGUUCUGGCAUCGAUGAAGAACGCAGC